CGUGUAGGCGGUUGGUCAAGUCUGGUGUGAAAGCCCGGGGCUUAACCCCGGAAGUGCAUUGGAAACUAGCCAGCUAGAGCGCGAGAGAGGAGGGUGGAAUUCCUGGUGUAGCGGUGAAAUGCGUAGAUAUCAGGAGGAACACCUGCGGCGAAGGCGGCUUCCUGGACCACAACUGACGCUGAGGCGCGAAAGCUAGGGGAGCAAACAGGAUUAGAUACCCUGGUAGUCCUAGCCCUAAACGUUGAGCACUGGAUGUAGCCCUUCACGGGGCUGUGUCGAAGCUAACGCAUUAAGUGCUCCGCCUGGGGAGUACGGUCGCAAGGCUGAA
rnacentral:rRNA from 1 species